rnacentral:rRNA from 1 species
AUUGAACGCUGGCGGCAGGCCUAACACAUGCAAGUCGAACGAGUGGCGGACGGGUGAGUAAUGUCUGGGAAACUGCCCGAUGGAGGGGGAUAACUACUGGAAACGGUAGCUAAUACCGCAUACCAUCAGAUGUGCCCAUAUGGGAUUAGCUUGUUGGUGGGGUAACGGCUCACCAAGGCCAAUAUCCCUAGCUGGUCUGAGAGGAUGACAAGCAAAACUGGAAGUGGGACACGGUCCAGACUCCUACGGGAGGCAGCAGUGGGGAAGAUUGCAAAAGGGGCGCAAGCCUGAUGCAGCCAUGCCGCGUGUAUGAAGAAGGCCUUAGGGUUGUAAAGUACGUUCAGCGGGGAGGCGUUACCCGCAGAAGAAGCACCGGCUAACUCCGUGCCAGCAGCCGCGGUAAUAC